rnacentral:rRNA from 1 species
GACGAACGCUGGCGGCGUGCUUAACACAUGCAAGUCGAACGGAAAGGCCCUGCUUUUGUGGGGUGCUCGAGUGGCGAACGGGUGAGUAACACGUGAGUAACCUGCCCUUGACUUUGGGAUAACUUCAGGAAACUGGGGCUAAUACCGGAUAGGAGCUCCUGCUGCAUGGUGGGGGUUGGAAAGUUUCGGCGGUUGGGGAUGGACUCGCGGCUUAUCAGCUUGUUGGUGGGGUAGUGGCUUACCAAGGCUUUGACGGGUAGCCGGCCUGAGAGGGUGACCGGCCACAUUGGGACUGAGAUACGGCCAGACUCCUACGGGAGGCAGCAGUGGGGAUUAUUGCACAAUGGGCGGAAGCCUGAUGCAGCAACGCCGCGUGCGGGAUGACGGCCUUCGGGUUGUAAACCGCUUUCGCCUGUGACGAAGCGUGAGUGACGGUAAUGGGUAAAGAAGCACCGGCUAACUACGUG